rnacentral:misc_RNA from 1 species
GCGACUACGUCGAGAAGCAAACAUCGUAUUCGAUCGCGAACCUUUCAUCCCCAUCGGAACACGGCGUUUCUUUUCUUCGAAAUUGCUAGAAAUAUUUUUAGAAACGUUCGAUCAAAAAGUCCGACGUUAAAACGCGUUAAACGCGACUUGCCUGAAAGUCGGGCUAAACGUUUUCGAAAAUGUUACCACCUAUAUAUACAUACACAUAUAUAUGUCUAUGCAUAUGCAUAUGCAUAUGCAUAUGUAUAUGUAUAUGUAUAUGUAUAUGUUGGAAAGCGCUACUCCGAUCGAGCUUCGUAGAUGUUUAAACAUCUGUAAAAGCUGAUAAAAGGAGAUUUCGUGGAAACUCGCGGACGGCAAUUUUCGCAAAUCUCUACGAUAUUCCGUGCUGAAACUCGAACGAUUUGCCCCGAGUGAGUUCGAACUCUAAAACUUGGCGUCUAAUAACGCGGUAAAAAAAAGGAUAACAGCGGAGAGAGAAAAAAAACUCACCUGCUUUUAUAAACAAGCAGAAGGAUCAUAAGACCGAAAAAACCACCGAGAGUCGCUGCGAUUCUGACCCCCGUCAUGACAUCGUAAGUUUUGUAAAAUUCGAUUUUCAGUUGCUCCCGCUCGCUGAGGGUCGACGUCGCUUCCGGCAGGAACGUCGUCGAGUCCAUCCUCCUCGUCGUCGCGUUGCUCGCGUUCACGUUGCUGCCUACGACACUCCCCAUAUCUGCGCACACACGUACAACUCUCGAUUCUUAUGAAAUAUUUUCUUUGCUCGUUGAGGCCUCCGUGACUUUAUACGUAGAAUAGCCUACGAAUUUAAGAGCGUGAUCGAUCAACGAUACGCCCGACAGGAAUCCGACAAUUCAAAGUCGAACGUUCUCCAAGAAUUUUCUUCGCAACAGACAUUAGCCGACUUUUUCCUCUAUGUUACUUUUAUAUUUAACCAAACGAACGUACACCGUGUGGAAUUAAUACCUUCUUUUAUCGCGGCGAAGAAAGCUUUUACCAACCUGUCGUUGGCGUGGUUAAAGUUUCCAGUCAAACGGAUCUUUUACUUUAUUAACCCGAAAAGCGACGUUUCGUCGAACAAUUUCGUCCCGAAGUUACGAUCCACGGCGAAAAUAUAAUAUCUCGAUAUUUUACGUAUAAAGCGACCGGUCUAUCCUCUUUAUGGAAAUCCUGGUAGGUCGUUGCGUACCAAUUGCGGUGCAAUUUGAAAUUUCUGUAAAUUUCAUUUACACCUCCGCCUGCCAUUUAUAACGCCGGCCGCUGUAUCUAACCGACGACUGAUAAGGCUUUUUUAGAAAACACGACUCGAACAGUUUGCGGAUAAAAGGUGUAAAGACAGAGGGGAAUCGUUCCCGUAGUUGGUCGACGAAGAGCUGGAGUGGAUAAUUGAUAAUAACCAAUCGACAGGUUCCGAUAUUUAUGGAGCACUCGCAGGCGGCAUGCACGCACUUCCUUCCUGUACACCUUUAACGCUUACCGUAUCACUCGUUAUUUCCAUACGUUAACAUUCGUUGUGUAUUUCUCCUUUGCGACAAACGAUACAAAAUUUCAACGAAACGUCUACGCUAUCGCGCGAUCAAACGAUCGAAUGGAAUCGAAAUUUCCUAUUUCUAGUCGAUAUUAAAGUCAACGAUCAAAGGCAAUUGCGAGGGCAAAACAUCUCUUAUCGUGUAUUAUUUCCUAGCAAUUUUGCUAGACCGUACACGCGUAGCUCAACUUACUCUAACGUAAAUAUAUCAACAGCCAUUGAUUUCAUUUGUACGAGGAAAUAACAUUUUUGUAAGAUCGAAUCAAGCUCGAUUGCCCUUUAACACGACGCCGUUAACAUCCAAUUCAUUGCUGCGCUUCGUUCGUAUCCUCUAUUUAAACGCUUCGCCUUUUCAAACGAAAAUUUAAACGCGAUAUUUUAUUUAAUUUUUCAACGAUCGCGCGUUAUCCGAUCGUUCGAUUCGCGCUGAUUUCAACGCCGCCUCCCGUUUCAU